CAAAGACCUGCGCUCUAAUUACCAGCAUAAUUAGAAUAAGAACAUGUUGCUCACUCCAGAGGGGCCCGCCCCGCGCCUCUGCUGCUCUGGGAGAAAGCGUGUUUAAGAAUUCCCAUGGAGUUGCAUGGGAGGAAAAGCGACCCCACGCUGAGCUGCCAACGUGGUUGUCAGCGCGCCCCGUGUGAUUUCGUGCCGCUGUUUUCAAUGCGCUAACGAGGCACGUUAUUCUUAGCCGCGUCCGGGAGGGGAUCACAUUCCUGCGCAGUUGCGCUGCUGGCGGAAGUGACUUGUUUUCUAACGACCCUCGUGACAGCCAGAGAAUGUCCGUUUCUCGGAGCGCAGCACAGCCUGUCCCAUCGAGAAGCCUCGGGUGGACAUGGACUCCAUGGAAGCCUGAGCUGCCAGGGGCUUCCCUGGGGCAGCACUGCUUCGCGUAGGCUCACGAGAAACUUCCAGGGUUCCUGGCGCCAGCCUUUCAACAGAGCAGCACAUUAUGCCUGGAUAAGACUCAAAGAGCAGCUUAAUAUCAGGUUCUCUGGGGCUGUAAUCAUCGGUUCAGGAUGGAGCAGACACAGCCGCAGCAAGGCCUCUGUGCAGCCCCCGGUUUAAAACACAUCAACGCAUCCGUGGGCACUUUUGUGAGUUAAAGCUCAACUUACACAUCUGCCUGUAUCCAUAGGAAAUGAAUGAAAAUAAACAAACAAAUUCCUUGCAUUCAACGCAGCGUAAGAAAAAUCACAUCCUGUUCCCCAGUAGCUGAGGAAAGCCGGCUCACGAGAGUAUACAGGGAGAAGAGGCCAGCAUUGUGUGGCUGCCAGCAAAGCUCACUUGUAUGUCAAAUGCAGCGCUUUUCUUAGCCCAUUAUGUAUUUUUUUUUUCUUGAACACUCCUGUGUCUACUGGGAUCUCCUGUUUUUAUUGUUUUGGGAUGAGAUUUUAAAAACACCAUUUAAUGUAGCCUGUGUGCUCUUGUUCA
rnacentral:lncRNA from 1 species